GUCACAGCGUCGUAGCGGGUCGGUGCCCGGAAGGAGCCCUCAGGAGGUCUAAUCCCACGCGCUGUGCCUAAAACCCUGUGAUCUUGAGCACGCCCUUGAACGUCUCUGGAUCUCCGUUUUCUGAGAAGCCAGACACCUCCAGCCUUAUUCCAACUCCACUGCUUCCCAGAGAGGUGAACUCUCUCUGCCUCAGCUUCCUCAGUCGGAAAAUGGGAAUGAAAAUAGUACCUCCCUCAUGGGGUGGCUGUGUCAGCCAUUCUUCACUGGUCAUGCAGAAAAAGCCAAAUGGCAGUACAUGUGUGCGGUGUUUGGACACCAGAGGAGUUACCUAUAUUCUCUCUCUUUGGGAUUACAGAGAAUUCUGUGCCCCAGGGCCUGUGAAGACGCAGUCUGGCAGCCCAAAACCUGACCUCCUCUGGUAGUCCCUCCUGCCAACUCUCCCUGGGAAAAUGUCCCACACAGUGUCAGUGCUUUUCUGGAGCCAGAGAGAG